UCGCCUGAUUCUCCUCUUCGUCACCGACGCCAUCUCCCCUCUCGCGACGCUGACCCUUUUCCUCUUUCGAAUCUCUCCUCUUCCUUGAUCUAGUGUCGUUCUCUCCUUCUUGUGUCGUCAAAGCCACCAUUUCUUGACUUGUCGAUGAUGGCAGUAUCGUGUGUCCUACUUGCUGAGGGUUCCGAUCCGGAGCUCGCCUCCUGCUCGCGAGUAGUCGAAGAAGCCGCCACCCUCUUCCUCACGCGCCUCUGCCCUAGAUCGUCCGAUCGUCGAUCCACCGUCACCAGCACCUGAGCACCACCCGUCAGUGCCCUACGAUUCCAUCAAUGUCGCCCAUUCCUCAUCGCUGCCUCGUGCUGCUCAUCGGAUCCUUGACAGCUACCGAACGUGGUGGAUCUAGAAGAUGGUGACAUCGGGGUUAACAUUGUGCACUUGCGGGUCCACAGUUGUUAUCACUUGAUGAGGAAGCUGCCGACACUGAAUUAGGUAGCUCUGGCCCUGUUCCUGGCAGCAACUUCAUUGUAGCUUCGACCACUAAUUUAACGAUGAGUUUCUCUAGCUAUGAAGCAUCGGCUAAGGUGCCAACUCAGGACGUUGAUUCGAGACGAACAUCUUGACGUGGGAUUUAUUUGACAUGAUCUAUACAUUAAAGGAGACAUGAUGUAUUUGGUCUGACGAUCCUACACCUGUUGGUAUGGUUCAUACCCUUAUGUUCAGAUAGGAGAUCCUGGUGAGUACAGUUUCUUCUGUUGUUUAAUUUUACAUUAUCUGUUAUUGUUCAGGAGACUAUACUGCAGGAUUAUUACUGAUAGUUAUAUCUUACUAUGUAUGUCUGAUCGAUACCAGCUGAGUUCUUGAACUCAUCCCAUUGAUUUAUUCCUAUUUCAGGUUGAAGUCCCUUGGAGUAUCUUGUCUGCCGAUCAUACGUCACAUCAGAAGAUUGUUUCCGAUUUCAUUUAUGUUUUAUCUGGUUUAUAUAUUUGGUGGAUUUAGCAUUGUAUAUUCUGGUUUGGGUUCUGGAGUGUUGCUACGUGGUAUCGGGUAUUGUUUUGUUGUGUUGUGUAAGCCUAGUCGGCUAGCAGUCUUUGUUGUUUUGGUUUAUAUGGGCUUUCUUUCGUUUUAUUUUGCUGUUGUGUGUUUUUAGUACAGUCGAGUGAGUUGUUUAAUAUA